UGAGGAAUAUUGGUCAAUGGGCGAGAGCCUGAACCAGCCAAGUCGCGUGAAGGAAGACGGUUCUAUGGAUUGUAAACUUCUUUUGUAAGGGAAUAAAGUUCACUACGUGUAGUGUUUUGUAUGUACUUUACGAAUAAGGAUCGGCUAACUCCGUGCCAGCAGCCGCGGUAAUACGGAGGAUCCAAGCGUUAUCCGGAUUUAUUGGGUUUAAAGGGUGCGUAGGCGGACCCAUAAGUCAGUGGUGAAAGUUUGCAGCUUAACUGUAAAAUUGCCGUUGAAACUGUGGGUCUUGAGUGUAAAUAAAGUAGGCGGAAUGUGUUGUGUAGCGGUGAAAUGCUUAGAUAUAACACAGAACACCAAUUGCGAAGGCAGCUUACUGGGAUACAACUGACGCUGAGGCACGAAAGCGUGGGGAUCAAACA
rnacentral:rRNA from 1 species